rnacentral:rRNA from 1 species
CCCCUAGAUGUUCUGGGCCGCACGCGCGCUACACUGAACAGUUCAACAAGUCUUAACCUUGGCCGAUAGGUCUGGGUAAUCUUUGAACGCUGUUCGUGAUUGGGAUAGACCUUUGCAAUUAUGGGUCUUCAACGAGGAAUUCCUAGUAAACGCAAGUCAUCAGCUUGCAUUGAUUACGUCCCUGCCCUUUGUACACACCGCCCGUCGCACCUACCGAUUGAACGGUCCGGUGAAAUCUCGGGACGGCGGCUUGGUCGCUUGCGUCCGACUGCUGAAACUUGAUUAAACCAUAUCAUUUAGAGGAAGGUGGAGUCGUAACA